UAUAAAAAGGUGGAGCUUAAAGCACGCCAAUUUAGAAUCUAGGCGAGCUGCGGGCUCUGGAGGAGAAGAAACACAAGUCACAGGGGGGAAACGUAGGCAAGAGUACAAGUACUAGAGCAGGUGGCAGUGGCCAGAGGAACCUGCCUCUGGCUUGGACUACACAUCUGAGCUGCUGAAGAUGAUAACCAACAAUAGGGAACACCUACAGUAAAUUAAACUGUGGAAAGGCAAGUUCACCAGAACAACAAACAUGGUACAAUUUCAUACAUAAAUUUGUAAAAGUUAAAUUACUCCCAUCUUCAGAGAUUCUCUGUGCAGGCAUUUUGUAGGAUACAGUGGGGGCUUUUUUGUAUGAAGUCUGUGCUCUUUAAAUAAAAGUAGCAGUGCAGUGAAAGUAGGUGACACUAAUCUCACACAAGGUGAGAGGUGUAUUCAUUGAGCUUUUCUAGAGCUUUCAAUUACCAUUGCAGGCUUUCUCAUCCACGGUUGCUUCAAAUUAAUUUUUGCAUCUAGAUUUUGUGACAUAGCAGCAGGACCAAAUGUGCUUUGUAUAGAUUUUCCCCACAGCCUACAGUACAUGUCCCGUUUGUGGCAACAUCAAGAAGUCGCAGCCACACAACACCAGUGAAGAUGACCCAAAAGCUCAUGGGCUCACUACAGAUGUCUGGAUGUCAGGAUCUGCUACUUCAGCUAACUAUUCAGAUGGCUUGAUGGGGAUGAACCCGUCUGACCAGGAGAAAGGGAUGAAAUCUGCCUUUCCACCAGUAAUUCAGAUGGCUAUUCCUUAAACAUGUGCCCUGGCAUAAGAACCCCAGUCAGCAUCAAAAAUCCUACAACAGGAUUGAGGACAUACAUGGAGACAGGCAAGUUGGUUUAAAAUGG